GAAAAAGGGUUCAGGAGGGGAGAUGGAACAAGAGAGUCAGGACAUAAGAAAGGUGAGUGGUGAACAUGAGUGGAGUGAUAAGGGACGAGAAUAAGGGAAGGGGAGAAGAUGAGGUUAGCUUCGGAAAGUGACAGAAGGAGAGCGUUAGAAGUGUUAGCAAAGGGUCAAGGGAAAAAUGAGAGAAGAAUGAUGAGAUGAGGAAGGAAGAGAUCACUGGGAGGGUUCAAAAUAUGCAAAAAAGGAGGUAAUGAGUUUACUGAGAGAAGAAGAAUAGAGAAAAUUUGAAAAGUAAAACAGGACAAAAACAGGUAGAAAAUUAGUAAUUAUAUAGUAGUGAUAUAAGAAGAGGUGAAAAUGGAAUAGAAAGGAAGUAUGGGGAAAGAUAAGACUGAAAAGGAAGAACAGGGGAAGAUUGAUGACACGUUGAGGAGGGUAGAAGCCAAAAAAAAAAAAAAAAUGACAGAAAUAUAAAGGAAGUUACUUAAGGAAAAAGAGGUGGAGGGCUGUUUCCAGAGAAAUGACAAAUGGGAAAAAGAAUGCUUACGAAAGAGCAAAGCGAAAGGACUGAAAAGUGAGGAGUAAAUGAAGAAAAAGGAAAAGGGAAGGAAAAAAAAAAAGAAAUUGAAGAGCGAAUGUAAGGAAGGGUUUUAGGAGAGUUGAGGGAAGAACAGGAGAAAGGUAGAGGAAGGGAGAAACAAAGGAAGUGAACGAGAAAUGUAGAGAAGAAUAGACGGAGAGAGAGGGUGAGAGUAAGCAAGAGAAAAGAGGAGGGGAGAGAGAGUUAAAGGAGGGGAGUGAAAACUGUCCGAAAAAGUGAAGGAAGGGAAAGGGAGAUGAUGCAAAAUGUGGGAAGCUGAGAUGGAGGUGCAGAAAUAAAAGAAGGAGGAGGAGGAAGAGGAGGAGGAAGAAGAAGAGGAGGGGGAGGAGGAGGAGGGGGAUAAGCAGAAGCAGAAGAAAGGUAAGGUAGAGAAUUAAGAAAUGGACAAAGAGAAGAAAAGGAGAAGAAGGAAAAACAGAAAAGGUAGGCGAAGGAAAAGAAGUAGACGAAGGAGGAGGAUGGGGUAGCAAAAAGUCAUGAAUUAUGUAUAAGUUGAGGACAAAUGUAAAGGAAAGGGAAGUAAAGAAAGGUGCAAAGUUACGAAAAGCAAAGGAAAGGGAAGGAAGGCACAGAAAAGUAUAAGGUGAACGAUAGUGAAGAAUGAUGAUGGAAAGUAAUGAAAAGUGAAGGAGAAUGAAGAUAAAGGAAAGGGAAUGAAGGUGAAUUAAAUGAAGGAAGAAGAACUUGAGUAAAGGAAAGUGAAAAAGAGUUAAUUAAAAGUACAAAUGGGGCGCGAACAAAGUAUGUAAUUAUCACGCUGAAAGGGUUAAGGAAGGUGAAGGUGAGUGAGGGUAGGUGAAAUGGUGUGAAUGAAAUUGAAGGAAAGCGAAUGAAAAUGAAUGAAGAUGUAGAUUGAAGAAAGGUGAAAGAGAGUGGUGAGGUAAAGUGAAAGUUAAAAAAAGUAAAAGAAAGGGAGGGAAGAUGAAGGCGAGUGAAGGAAGGUGAAGGAAAGUGAAGGAAGGUGAAGGAAAGUGAAGAAAGGUGAAGGAAAGUGAAGGAAGGUGAAGGAAAGUGAAGGAAGGUGAAGGAAAGUGAAGGAAGGUGAAGGAAAGUGAAGGAAGGUGAAGGAAAGUGAAGGAAGGUGAAGGAAAGUGAAGGAAGGUGAAGGAAAGUGAAGGAAGGUGAAGGAAAGUGACGGAAGGUGAAGGAAAGUGAAGGAAGGUGAAGGAAAGUGACGGAAGGUGAAGGAAAGUGAAGGAAGGUGAAGGAAAGUGAAGGAAGGUGAAGGAAAGUGAAGGAAGGUGAAGGAAAGUGAAGGAAGGUGAAGGAAAGUGAAGGAAGGUGAAGGAAAGUGAAGGAAGGUGAAGGAAAGUGUAGGAAGGUGAUGUGACAUGGCAAACAUACUAGAUCAAGGGGCUGUGAGGGGCGGGGGCUGGAGACGUGUUGAGCUGCAAGAGAUCGAACUGUAUGGCUAGUGGUGAGGGUGGUGUGGGUGGUGGAGGUGGUGGAGGUGACUGCAGAAGAGCGGCGAUGGUGGUAGUGGUGUGGGUGGUGGUAGGGCUGUGGUGGUGAUGAUGGAUGAAAGCUCAGGUGUGAUGGUAAGGAUGGUGGUGGUGAUGAUGGUGGUUAUAGUGUGUUGGUGGGGGUGGUAAUAUGGUGUAUGGGUGAGGGUGUUGGUAUUAGUGGUAAUGGAAGAUAUGGUGGUGGAAUGGUGUGAUGUUAUUUGUGAUAGUUUGAGUUAAGUGGUGAUGAUAGUGACUGUAGUGGUGAUGAUGGUGUUGGUGGGAUGGUGGUGGUAGUGGUGUUUUGGAAGAGGUAAUGUGGUGGUGCUGUGACGGUGGUAGAAAUGGUGAUGGUAUGGUGUGAUGGUGAUAAUAGUGGUAAUAUUGUAGUGAUGGUUGUAGGUGGGAUGGUGGUGGUAGUGGUGACUGACAGUGCUAAUGUGGUGGUGGUGGUGGUGAUAGUGGUAGUGUUGUGACUGUGGCAAUGAUGGUGAAGAUAUUCCCUGGUGGUGAUGAAAGUGAUAAUGUAGGUGGGAUGGUAUUGGUGGUUUGGCAGUGCUAAUGUGGUGGUGAGAGUGGUGUUGUUGUUGCGGAGGUAGUGAUGGUGAUGGUAUGGUGUGGAGGUGAUGGUGGUAGUCGUCGUCAUGGUGGUGGUGAUGGUGGCGGUGGUGGUGUUUUAGCUAUAGUGGUGUUUUACUGUUUUGGUAAUGUGGAUGUCACGGUUGGAUAUUGCGAUUAGUCGUUCGGUAAUAGUGAUGGUGAUGAUUAUGGUGAAGCAGUGGUGAUGAAAAUGCAUUAGUGGUGCUGUUGUGAUUGAUGACAGUGACAGUGGGGUUGCGGGUGACGUGUGGUGGUGUUGGUAAUGUAACUAAGGACUGUUAUGACGGCUAAACGGUAACAGUUUUCUGGUGAUGAUCCUAUUUUGGCAUCAUCGGUAUGGUGCUUUAAAGGAGUGAAUAUGAAGUGGCGAUGGUGUUAACGGGUAUAGACUGGUGGUGAUGGGACGGGCUUGAUAAAAUGAAAGCCGAUGAAAAGAAAACAAACAAACGAAAAAGAAAAAUUUAAGAACAAGAAGAACAAGUACAUGAACAACAGUAUAUAUACAAAAGAGGGAGGGAAGGGAAACGAAAAAAAAAAAAAA